GAUCCUGGCUCAGAUUGAACGCUGGCGGCAGGCCUAACACAUGCAAGUCGAACGGUAACAGGAAGAAGCUUGCUUCUUUGCUGACGAGUGGCGGACGGGUGAGUAAUGUCUGGGAAACUGCCUGAUGGAGGGGGAUAACUACUGGAAACGGUAGCUAAUACCGCAUAACGUCGCAAGACCAAAAAGGGGGACCUUCGGGCCUCUUGCCAUCGGAUGUGCCCAGAUGGGAUUAGCUAGUAGGUGGGGUAACGGCUCACCUAGGCGACGAUCCCUAGCUGGUCUGAGAGGAUGACCAGCCACACUGGAACUGAGACACGGUCCAGACUCCUACGGGAGGCAGCAGUGGGGAAUAUUGCACAAUGGGCGCAAGCCUGAUGCAGCCAUGCCGCGUGUAUGAAGAAGGCCUUCGGGUUGUAAAGACUUUCAGCGGGGAGGAAGGGAGUAAAGUUAAUACCUUUGCUCAUUGACGUUACCCGCAGAAGAAGCACCGGCUAACUCCGUGCCAGCAGCCGCGGUAAUACGGAGGGUGCAAGCGUUAAUCGGAAUUACUGGGCGUAAAGCGCACGCAGGCGGUUUGUUAAGUCAGAUGUGAAAUCCCCGGGCUCAACCUGGGAACUGCAUCUGAUACUGGCAAGCUUGAGUCUCGUAGAGGGGGGUAGAAUUCCAGGUGUAGCGGUGAAAUGCGUAGAGAUCUGGAGGAAUACCGGUGGCGAAGGCGGCCCCCUGGACGAAGACUGACGCUCAGUGCGAAAGCGUGGGAGCAAACAGGAUUAGAUACCCUGGUAGUCCACGCCGUAACGAUGUCGACCUGGAGGUUGUGCCCUUGAGCGUGGCUUCCGGAGCUAACGCGUUAAGUCGACCGCCUGGGGAGUACGGCCGCAAGGUUAAAACUCAAAUGAAUUGACGGGGGCCCGCACAAGCGGGGAGCAUGGUGGUUU
rnacentral:rRNA from 1 species